rnacentral:rRNA from 1 species
AGUGAACGCUGGCGGUAGGCCUAACACAUGCAAGUCGAACGGCAGCACAGGAGAGCUUGCUCCCUGGGUGGCGAGUGGCGGACGGGUGAGGAAUACAUCGGAAUCUACUUUUUCGUGGGGGAUAGCGUAGGGAAACUUACGCUAAUACCGCAUACGACCUACGGGUGAAAGCAGGGGACCUUCGGGCCUUGCGCGAUUGAAUGAGCCGAUGUCGGAUUAGCUAGUUGGCGGGGUAAAGGCCCACCAAGGCGACGAUCCGUAGCUGGUCUGAGAGGAUGAUCAGCCACACUGGAACUGAGACACGGUCCAGACUCCUACGGGCGGCAGCAGUGGGGAAUAUUGGACAAUGGGCGCAAGCCUGAUCCAGCCAUACCGCGUGGGUGAAGAAGGCCUGCGGGUUGUAAAGCCCUUUUGUUGGGAAAGAAAUCCAGCUGGCUAAUACCCGGUUGGGAUGACGGUGCCCAAAGAAUAAGCACCGGCUAACUUCGUGCCAGCCGCCGCCGUAA